rnacentral:rRNA from 1 species
AAUAGAUACCCGGGUAGUCCACGCCGUAAACGAUGAAUACUAGGUGUAGGGGUUGUCAUGACCUCUGUGCCGCCGCUAACGCAUUAAGUAUUCCGCCUGGGGAGUACGGUCGCAAGAUUAAAACUCAAAGGAAUUGACGGGGGCCCGCACAAGCAGCGGAGCAUGUGGUUUAAUUCGAAGCAACGCGAAGAACCUUACCUAGACUUGACAUCUCCUGAAUUACUCUGUAAUGGAGGAAGCCACUUCGGUGGCAGGAAGACAGGUGGUGCAUGGUUGUCGUCAGCUCGUGUCGUGAGAUGUUGGGUUAAGUCCCGCAACGAGCGCAACCCUUAUUGUUAGUUGCUACCAUUUAGUUGAGUACUCUAGCGAGACUGCCCGGGUUAACCGGGAGGAAGGUGGGGAUGACGUCAAAUCAUCAUGCCCCUUAUGUCUAGGGCUACACACGUGCUACAAUGGUCGGUACAAUGAGAUGCAACCUCGCGAGAGUGAGCAAAACUAUAAAACCGAUCUCAGUUCGGAUUGUAGGCUGAAACUCG